CGCAGCCUUGUCAAAUUCAGUGCUUCCUCCUCAGUGGACGCCACUGGCCAAAAUGGCUGCCACAGUGAAAUUGUAGUUCAUGGGCCCCACGGUGCUUCAACGUAACCACUGGGGAUAAAAUGUACUACAGACACAU